ACUCCUACGGGAGGCAGCAGUGGGGAAUAUUGGACAAUGGGGGGCAACCCUGAUCCAGCCAUGCCGCGUGAGUGAUGAAGGCCCUAGGGUUGUAAAGCUCUUUUGUGCGGGAAGAUAAUGACGGUACCGCAAGAAUAAGCCCCGGCUAACUUCGUGCCAGCAGCCGCGGUAAU
rnacentral:rRNA from 1 species